rnacentral:rRNA from 1 species
AACGAACGCUGGCGGCAGGCUUAACACAUGCAAGUCGAGCGCCCCGCAAGGGGAGCGGCAGACGGGUGAGUAACGCGUGGGAAUCUCCCCAUCUCUACGGAAUAACGCAUGGAAACGUGUUCUAAUACGGUAUACGUCCUUCGGGAGAAAGAUUUAUCGGAGAUGGAUGAGCCCGCGUUGGAUUAGCUAGUUGGGGGGGUAAAGGCCUACCAAGGCGACGAUCCAUAGCUGGUCUGAGAGGAUGAUCAGCCACACUGGGACUGAGACACGGCCCAGACUCCUACGGGAGGCAGCAGUGGGGAAUAUUGGACAAUGGGCGCAAGCCUGAUCCAGCCAUGCCGCGUGAGUGAUGAAGGCCCUAGGGUUGUAAAGCUCUUUCACCGGUGAAGAUAAUGACGGUAACCGGAGAAGAAGCCCCGGCUAACUUCGUGCCAGCCGCCGCAGUAAAAC